GGCUUAGAGUUUGAUCAUGGCUCAGGAUGAACGCUGGCGGCGUGCCUAACACAUGCAAGUCGAGCGAAGCACUUUGCUUUGAAUCUUUCGGGAGGACGAGUGAUUUGACUGAGCGGCGGACGGGUGAGUAACGCGUGGGUAACCUGCCUCACACAGGGGGAUAACAGUUAGAAAUGACUGCUAAUACCGCAUAAGACCACAGUGUCGCAUGACACAGUGGUAAAAACUCCGGUGGUGUGAGAUGGACCCGCGUCUGAUUAGGUAGUUGGUGAGGUAACGGCUCACCAAGCCGACGAUCAGUAGCCGGCCUGAGAGGGUGGACGGCCACAUUGGGACUGAGACACGGCCCAAACUCCUACGGGAGGCAGCAGUGGGGAAUAUUGCACAAUGGGGGAAACCCUGAUGCAGCGACGCCGCGUGAGCGAAGAAGUAUUUCGGUAUGUAAAGCUCUAUCAGCAGGGAAGAAACUGACGGUACCUGACUAAGAAGCACCGGCUAAAUACGUGCCAGCAGCCGCGGUAAUACGUAUGGUGCAAGCGUUAUCCGGAUUUACUGGGUGUAAAGGGAGCGUAGACGGAUAGGCAAGUCUGGAGUGAAAGCCCGGGGCUCAACCCCGGGACUGCUUUGGAAACUGUUUAUCUAGAGUGCUGGAGAGGCAAGUG
rnacentral:rRNA from 1 species